UUCAGCAGAUAGGCUGGAAAACAAAAUAGAAAGAAUCCUCCCAGAGGCGCAACAACAAACAAUAGGAAAGAAGGAAAGGGGAACAGACAACCACUGUUUAACUGUUGGGAGUUUCCAGAAGACGGGACAGAGAGAAUGUGGACAAUAAAACAAUAAGAAACAGUUGACGAGCACCAGUUUGAGGGGACCAGUACUGACCACAUCUAGGCACAGUCCUAAAUAAAAUUGGAACAAUAGGGUUAGAAGGAACAUGUUGGAAGUGCCCAGGGAAGGAAAACCAACUGAAGUAAAUCUUAGAAUAGUCUGGCAACUUCAGUAGCAGUGCUGAAUGCUAGAAGUCAAGGAACCAAUGAUUGACUUUUGAAAACUUUUGUUCCCAGAACUCCAUAUAGUACAGAAUGUCAAGAGUAAUGCAAAAAGAAAAACGUUUUUGGGCAAGUGAGUCUUUAGAAACUCUCC
rnacentral:lncRNA from 1 species